CCCUUCCGUAGGUGAACCUGCGGAAGGAUNAUUG
rnacentral:rRNA from 1 species